CAUAUUCAAGAACAGUAGCCACAAACUCAGUGAGUUCUUAAGUAUAACAUGCUAUGGGGCUUUUAAAACUGAAAAGCAAGAAGCUCAUAAUAACUACAGCAGCAUCAUUUAUCAAAAUGUUUGUAUCCCAGCCUUUCAGCUUCACAAAGGCCCCCCAAGACAGCUAACAAAUAUCAAUUAUAAUAAACGGCACAAUUAUAUUAUAGACCCCUGCAGUGAUGCUGGUGCCUAUUAUGACUGGUAGGGCAGAAUCCAAUAAGGUCACCAGUAGCCAAUCACAGGCAGACCUUCCCCCUGAUUGGUGGUAAGUAAGAAGGCAGACUGAGAUUGGUGGGGCUGUGCCCCUUUGCUUUAAUGAACCCGCCUCCACUGGAAUCCUGGGAACUGUAGUCAGACCCUCAAAGUGUCUCUAUUUUCCAGGGACGUCCCUGAUUUAGAGAAGCCAUACCAGUUUUUUUAUUUGAUCCUGGAAUGUCCCACUUUUCCUUAGGAUGUCCCUAUUUUCAUUGGAGAAACGUUGGAGGGUAUGGAGUUAUCCGACCCCCGAGUUGUCUGAAGGCAAUCCUGCAUAGGGAAGUUUUUUAAUGUUUAAUGUAUUAUUAUGUAUUUGUAUAUGUUGGAAAUUACCCAGAGUGGCUAGGGCAACCCAGUAAGAUGUGUGGGGUAUAAAUAGUAAAAUUUCAAUUAUGGAAUGGGACAUCCCUAUUUUCAUCAGAGAAAUGUUGGAGGGUAUGCUGUUGUAUCAUACAACAAAGACCAGUCUUAUGUUGUUAUAACUGAGAAAAGAAGAUAGGCAGGUUGCAGAAGGAAGGCGAAGGAACCCACAAAAUGAGCUGAAAGGAGGAUUGGGGGCCUGUCCACUGAUGUGCUGAGCUGCCUGCUGAGAGAGAGAGAACAUAGUUUUUAAAAGGGAGCUCUACCCAACUGAGAACAACAUAGACAAGCUAAAUGAUUCCAACUCAAUGCAACUCAGUCCAGUGCCAUCUAGUGACUAAACUACAUAAUGACACUAUCCACGCAAAACCCAUUGGGGCCAUGAGUGGCGCUACACAAGUGUGCGUGGAUGCUCAAUGCAAGAGAGCAUGGAUUUUGAUUGGGCCCACAGGGAGAGAGGGAGAAGCAAAGGAUGAGCAACAAUUUCACUGGUGUGGUCAAACUGAAAAUGGCCUCCGAUUUCAGCAUCAGCAUCAGCUAUGACUGAGAGCCAGGUCUAAAUGCUCUAUGUUUCAUAAUCCUAAUGACUCAUAGCCCAAGGGGGAAGAACGAGCCUAGACAUGUUAAAAUGCAUGAUACGUGUGGUGGGGUAACAUGCAAAUGGUUGGACAGUCUUAAUUUUCAUCUUCACAAUGACUUCACAAUGAACUCUGCUGGUUCCAGGAUUUUUGUAUGAUGGUUCUCAGUUUUUUUCCGUUUUUUUCUUUUUAAAUAUUUUUUAUUAGGAAUUUAAACACAACAUAUUAUCUUAAAACUCAUCCUCAACCCCCUCAUUCCCCCCAUUUCCCCCCCUCCCUCCAUAAAACAACCCCCCUCCCCCCUGACUUCCCUCAGUUCCAAUCUUUGGUUUCUCUAUAAAUGCUAUUCUCUGCAUGUUACAAAAUUGUAUAAAUCCUUAAUUUAUCCGACUG